rnacentral:misc_RNA from 1 species
AUCUUCUUAUUAGGUCCCCAUGCGAUUUCCACAAACAAAGCUCUUGAAUCGUAGAGAUAUGCUGCAAACCUUCCGGAAGAAACCUCAAAUUCAAACAAUGUUUAAGAAGCGUCUUCAAACUUUGAAAAGCCCCAUUUACAAUCUCAGUCCACUCCACUAGAUCCCUUGACUUAAUUGACAAUCUUUCCAGCUGCGGAUAUCCACCUAUCUCGCAAAACUCUUUACCAAUGAUCUUUG